GUCUCUGGGUUUCCUUUUUUCUGCCCCUGAGGUUCCGCGUGUUUAUAAAGCACAGAGGUUGCGUCACGGAGACGCACCUCAGCUCCUCUAUAAAAGGGCUGAGACUCUCUUUCCUCCUUACGCAUCUGCUGUCUCCUGAUCCGGUAAGGUUUUCUUCUGAUUGCCCAUUAGAUCUGGUCCCGCUCCGAUCUUCUAGAGAUUGGAGGCGGUCUUCAUUCUCUCUGAACGGAAGAGUGCAUAAAAUAGGGCUCUUCUGCUUCCGAGUCUUCUCUCUUGUGGCGAUUUAGAGGUUGCGUCACGGAGACGCAGCUCAGCUCCUCUAUAAAAGCGCUGAGACUCUCUUCCCUCCUUCCGCCUCUGCCGUCUCCUGAUCCGGUAAGGUUUUGUUUUGGAUUGCCCAUUAGAUCUGGUCCCGCUCCGAUCUUCUAGAGAUUGGAGGCGGUCUUCAUUCUCUCUGAACAGAAGAGUGCAGAAAAUAGGGCUCUUCUACUUCUGAGUCUUCUCUUUCGCGGCGAUUUAGAGGUUGCGUCGCGGAGAGGCAGCUCAGCUCCUCUAUAAAAGCGCUGAGACUCUCUUUCCUCCUUCCGCCUCUUCUGUCUCCUGAUCCGGUAAGGUUUUCUUUCGAUUGCCCAUUAGAUCUGGUCCCGCUCCGAUCUUCUAGAGAUUGGAGGCGGUCUUCGUUCUCUCUGAAGGGAAGAGUGCAGAAAAUGGGGCUCUUCUACUUCCGAGUCCUCUCUCUUGCGGCGAUUUAGAGGUUGCGUCACGGAGACGCAGCUCAGCUCCUCUAUAAAAGCGCUGAGACUCUCUUUCCUCCUUCCGCCUCUGCCGUAUCCUGAUCCGGUAAGGUUUUCUUUUUGAUUGCCCAUCGGAUCUGGUCCCGCUCCGAUCUUCUAGAGAUUGAGGCGGUCUUCAUUCUCUCUGAACGGAAGAGUGCAGAAAAAGGGGCUCUUCUACUUCUGAGUCUUCUCUCUUGUGGCGAUUUAAAGGUUGCGUCACGGAGACGCACCUCAGCUCCUCUAUAAAAGCGCUGAGACUCUCUUUCCUCCUUCCGCCUCUGCCGUCUCCUGAUCCGGCCGAAAAUGCUAAAUUACCCUCAUCCUGCUGUAUAAUUGUCUCAGGAUUGCUCUGUUGGGCUCUUAUAAAGCAAUGGAUCCAAAUGUUGCACGAGCUGUUGAGUAAUUUCCAACUGGUUUUGGUGAUUUGCUUUUAUUAGUUGAGAUAAAAAAAUAAAACGAAUUAUUAAUUAUUAAUUUGGUUUCGGCAUUUAUAAAAAAAAAAAGUUUGUAUUUGAAAAAUAUUUUUGUAGUUAGACGAGCAAAGAAGAAAAAUGUUUUUGAUAAUAGUUAAAUUCAAAAUUUAAAAUAAAAAAUCACACUCAAUACAUCUUGGUGCUGGAUUCAAAUAUUUUCUUUCGAAAAAAGAAACUUACGUACGUGUAUUAAUAUCGGUGCCUGUGCGCAUUUACAAAAUUUUUACGAGUCUGCUAGAUUCAAAUAAUGUAUCGUUCUUGUUUCUCUCACGCUUUUUGGUUGUAUUUGAGCAAUAAUUUGUCAGAGGCAGCAAGCCAGAUCUGGAAAUAUGGCAAGUUUUUAGAAAUUGGUGCUGCGCGUUUAAUCAUCUUUAACCAACAAGAUCUUAUGCUGGUUUUCAGUUAUGUUGCAGUCAAGAGAAAGGUUUCCAGGAUAUGCUUGAGAUGCUUGCCUCGUACAAGGAGGGGGUGUGUACCAUGUGGGAACCGUGUUCCCAUAAUCUUGAUUCUGUCCGGUUCCAUCCAAAGUGCAUAAAGAAACCUAGUUCCCACGCUGGAAACUGAUAACAGUGCUCGGUAUUUUAUGUUUAUUACCAGUUAUUGUUAAUUUAUUGCGCGACUUUCAUGGGAGUUGUAUCAAUAUGUCUUGAUCCCUUUUCUUGUUCUUUGAUUUACCGGGACCAUAUUCUGAAAAUAUUGUAAUCGUCGCUCGGUAAGGGUAUGGAUUGCUGGUUCAAGAGGUUUGCAAUAUCUAUUUACACUCGUAUCACUUGGUGCUGGAUUCAAAUGUUUUUCUUCUGUAUUAAAAAGUUACGUAUGUGUAUUAAUAUUGGUACCGAGGGGGCACUGCGCACUUACAAAAUUUUUACAAGUCCGCUGGAUUAAAAUAAUGUGACGUGCUUUGUUCCUCUCGGCGCUUUUUGCUUGUAUUUGAGCAAUCAUUUGUUAGAGGCAGCCAGGCCAGAUCUGAAAAUAUGGCAAGUUUUUAGAAAUUGAUGCUGCGCCUUUUAGUUGCCAACACGUUCUUAUGUUGGUUUUCAGGGACCAUAUUCUGACAAUAUUAUAACGCUCGCUCGGUAAGGGUGUGGAUUGCUGGUUCGAGAGGUACGCGACAUCUCUAUUUACACUCGUAUCACUUGGUGCUGGAUUCAAAUAUUUCUCUUUGGAAGUAAAAGUUACGUAUUUUUUUAAUGUUGGUACCAAAGGGGUACUGCUGCGCAUUACAAAAAUUUCUACAAGUCUGCUAGAUUCAAAUAAUAUUUCUCUCACGCUUUAUGGUUGUAUUUGAGCAAUAAUUUGUCAGAGGCGGCAGGCCAGAUCGGGAAAUAUGGCAACUUUUUAGAAAUUGAUGCUGCGCGUUUGCUUUACCAACAAGUUCUUAUGUUGGUUUUCAGCAGGGACGAAACGAGGAUGCUGUGUUCUGGGGAUUUUUAUCUGAUGCGAGAAAGGUCGUCGUUCUUUAUUUCGAAGCCACAUUAGAUUGAUUUUGUGUCCCGGUGUCCCCACAGGGAAAUUGUAGCAGUUGGAAAAGUACUUUGUGGGAAACUUGCUUAAGCGGAAAGAACGGAGUUUGUUCCAGUGGCUAUCUACACGAACAACGUGUGCUACGCGGAAUCCUUUCCUUGGUGCAGCAAAUUGGAGCGAGGGUGAAGCCUUCCUAAGUGUAGAGCUACAGAUUGAAGAGACGUGUUGCUGAAAGGAACAAAUGAGGUUUCUUCCCGUUGCUGGUUGUGCAGGUGACGAGUGCGGCUGCGUGGCUUCUGAGUGUGAUUUUACUCCGUGUACAUUAUCAGGGAAUGGAGUUUUUACUCUUACCGAGUUUUAUUUUAUAGGGUUGUCGUCCCCGUAUUUGUAUCUGCAAUUUGUGUAGUGUUGGAACGGAGGUUUAUGGCUUGAACUUCCAUUUUGGUGGAUCUUCAUCUUGGGAAAUAAUUCAUUUAGCGUGGUCCAGUUCCAGUGGAGUUCAUGGCAACCACGUUGGCUCUUAAUAAGGGGACUGAUCCUUUGAAUAUCCUGCAAAUUUUGUGCUUGACUAGGGAUCUUUUGUUGAUAAAUAGAUCUCUGGGCGGUUGGGAGGCCGUUCAUCGAAACUAAUUUUACCAAAUUAGUAGAAUUCUUGUCGUAGUUUAGAUUAUUGGAAUUUUUUUUCCUUUUUUUCUUUCUUGAUGUUUUAUUUUUGUCUGUUGUUCUUCAUUGCGUGUUAAGCAUUUGUCCUUUAUAUUACUCUACUCGAUUUUAACUUUAUCAUUUGAUCAUUUUGUUCGCAUGAUCUGAUGCUGGAAUCAGGUUUCAGGUGUUCUGUAUGUCACGUCUGAUUUGUUAAGAUUUUUCAUCUCAUUAGGUAAUUAUCAUAUCCGCAUUGGUAGGUGGUAUUACUCUGCCCAAUUUUAAAUUUUAUUAUUUUGAUAAUUUCGUUCACAUGUGCUGAUAUUACUAUCAUGUUUCAGGUUUUCUGCUUGCUAGCCAUUUUGUCAUAAUUUGGUCCCAUGACCUGUUAUAUAAAUUCUGAUUUAUCCUUUCAAAUGAUGCUUUUUCUCACAGCUAAAAUCCUCUCAAAGAUGAGUUCCCGUUUAAUAAUCCAUUGGUCAAGGUCGGUAAGGGAAAUUCAACCGUAGAGAUGUGUGGAAAAGUGUAUCGCAUAGCUCCAGUUACUCUUACUCAACAGCAGCAAGCUUUCCAUCAGAAAAGGAGAUCUAGAGCAUACCAGUGGAAGGGACCAACUGUGUUCCUUAAGGACGCGGAUUCCAUACCUCCUGAUGUAGACCCCAAUACAACCAGAUGGAUUCCAGCCAAUCAUUUUUUUGCAACCACUGCAGCUGACAUUGAUUAGACCUGGCACAAAACAAUAUGUAUCAGGAGCAUGGUGUUCCAUUUCGUAUUCAGGCUGAGCAUGAGGCAGUAGAGAGGAAGCUUGAAGCGGCUUGAAUGGCAUGCAUGGUAACAGAGAGUAACUUUUCACUAUAAAAUGCCCUAAAUAACCAUAUAUAUUCUUCACUGAAGUUGCAUCCUUACCGAUCAACUUACAGUAAAUCCUGUAGAAGGUCGGAAGCCUAACCCAUAAUGAACUAAUAGUGAAAGCACCAGCGGGCUAGUCAGUUUGGGCAUAAACCUAAAAUUGAGUUUCUCUACUUGCAUUAUCUCUUAUCAAAAUAUUAAUCCUGUAGUUUCAGGUGCUAAAGAUACUUGCAAUUAUGGAAGUAGAAAUCAUACUGGUAAACCUAUGAUGCGUCCUUGACUUUCGAUUCUAAGGCCUUGUUUUACCAGGACGGAUUUGAACCUUUCUUUGUUUUUUUUUUUUUUUUGACAAUUUUGGAGAUGGGUUUGGAUGUUUGCUCAUAUGAAGAUAUGAAAUUGAUUUACCAGAUCAACACUA